CAGGACAGCUAGAGAGAGAACGUUCUCAGUAAGAUGCUCUUGUCAUUAAAAUGUAGGUGCUUUCAUUCAUCAAAAUAUUUCCUAGAAAGACACCAAACUCCCAUAGCUAUUAUCUGAAGUUAUUCACUUUUACAUUCUUCCAUUUAUUUCUUUUAAAUAUUUUAAUUGACAAAUGACAGAUUGUAUAUAUUUAUGGUGUACAAUGUAAAGUUUCGAUAUGUGUAUACAUUGUGGAAUGAUUAAAUCCAAUUCUUCCACUUCUUAAAAUGAAUGUACAACUUAUUUGACUAUAGCUCAUUCAUUCACCAACCUGUAUUUAACUCUUAAUAUGCAUUGUUGUGCCAAACACUGGGAUUUCAAAGAUGACAUUGGUGUGGACCCAGGUUUGAUAUCUGAUAGAGGGAUAUAGACAUGUAAAUCAUUAAAUCAAAUUUAGUAAAGAGUUGUAAGUGUAAUAGAAACCAUCUGUGUACUACAGUAUAAGAAUUACGGCAUAAAGAAAGCAGUAAAGAGAUUCAGCAGGAGUAUAAUUAAUAUAUUGGAUUCCUGUCUUUUUUUUAAAUUAAUUAUUUCUUUUUUUUUUUUUUUUUUGAGACUGAGUCUCGCUCUGUUGCCCAGGCUGGAGUGCAGUGGCACGUCGGGUCACUGCAAACCUCCCGCUCCUGGGUUCAAGCGAUUCUCCUGCCUCAGUCUCCUGAGUAGCUGGGAUUACAGGCAUGAACCACCACGCCCGGACUUCCUGCCCUUUGAAUUUACCAAGAAGAGGUAAUUCGAUCAUGCAUAGCACACAAAUAUAUUAAUUGUCAAAGCGCAUCCUCUCUCUAUUCUUGUGAGUUGGAUUUUUUUUUAAAAAAGACUUUCAUUUUGAAAUAAUUACAAAUUCACAGGAAAUUGCAGAGAUGGAUAGUACAGAGGUUCUGUGUAUCCUUUACCUGGUUUCCCCAGUGAUUACAUCAUCAAAACCAAGGAGUUGAUUGACAAUGAUAAAAAGCAUGUGCAUAAUUCUAUGUCCUUUUACCAUAUGUUUAGAUUUGAUAAGCACCACUUCAAUCAAGAUAUAUAACUAUUUCAUUACCACAGGGAUCUUCCAGGGCUACCGCUUUACAAUACUACUAACCUCCUCCCUCUAGCAUCGUUAAACCCUGGCAACUGUUCAUCUAUUAAAGGAUGACAUUGGCACUGGAGAUGACAUCUAAUAAAGAGACACAGAGAAGUAAAUCAUGCAAAUCUAAUGCAGAGAAUAAACUAAGCUUGUAACCUGUAAUAGCUUGUAGCUUCAAUGUUAUAUAAAUGAAAUCAUUCAGUAUGUGACCCUUUGAGAUUGGCUUUAUUCCCCC
rnacentral:lncRNA from 1 species